rnacentral:rRNA from 1 species
GAUGAACGCUGGCGGCGUGCCUAAUACAUGCAAGUCGAGCGAACGGACGAGAAGCUUGCUUUUCUGAUGUUAGCGGCGGACGGGUGAGUAACACGUGGAUAACCUACCUAUAAGACUGGGAUAACUUCGGGAAACCGGAGCUAAUACCGGAUAAUAUUUUGAACCGCAUGGUUCAAAGGUGAAAGACGGUCUUGCUGUCACUUAUAGAUGGAUCCGCGCUGCAUUAGCUAGUUGGUAAGGUAACGGAUUACCAAGGCAACGAUGCAUAGCCGACCUGAGAGGGUGAUCGGCCACACUGGAACUGAGACACGGUCCAGACUCCUACGGGAGGCAGCAGUAGGGAAUCUUCCGCAAUGGGCGAAAGCCUGACGGAGCAACGCCGCGUGAGUGAUGAAGGUCUUCGGAUCGUAAAACUCUGUUAUUAGGGAAGAACAUAUGUGUAAGUAACUGUGCACAUCUUGACGGUACCUAAUCAGAAAGCCACGGCUAACUACGUG